UUUCCGUAGGUGAACCUGCGGAAGGAUCAUUAUUGGAUUUUGAAACUUCAGGCUGCUGCUGGCUCUCCUCGGAGGGCAUGUGCACGCUUGUUGUCCAUUAUUUCUCCCACUGUUCACAAAUUGUAGACCUUUCAGUAGGCCUAUGUUGUUUUUCACAAUCUCUGAAUGUAAUAGAAUGGUUUUGAAUCUUGGGAAAUACAAUACAACUUUCAGCAACGGAUCUCUUGGCUCUC
rnacentral:misc_RNA from 1 species